rnacentral:rRNA from 1 species
GUGGGGAAUAUUGGACAAUGGGCGCAAGCCUGAUCCAGCAAUGCCGCGUGGGUGAAGAAGGUCUUCGGAUCGUAAAGCCCUUUCGACAGGGACGAUGAUGACGGUACCUGUAGAAGAAGCCCCGGCUAACUUCGUGCCAGCAGCCGCGGUAAUACGAAGGGGGCUAGCGUUACUCGGAAUUACUGGGCGUAAAGGGCGCGUAGGCGGCUCUGUUAGUCAGGCGUGAAAUUCCUGGGCUUAACCUGGGGACUGCGCUUGAUACUGCAGGGCUUGAUGCCGAGAGAGGGUGGGGGAAUUCCCAGUGUAGAGGUGAAAUUCGUAGAUAUUGGGAAGAACACCGGUGGCGAAGGCGACCACCUGGCUCGGUUCUGACGCUGAGGCGCGACAGCGUGGGGAGCAAACAGGAUUAGAAACCCCGGUAGUCC